rnacentral:lncRNA from 7 species
AUUCCCCUACACUUCCUCUGAGGGGCUGAGAUCAUCUGACCUGGAGUCCCGUGUUGUUCUGACAGCAUCCCUUUACCAUGAAAAUGCAUUAAUCAACAGCUGGCAGAGGUGUCCCAGGCUGAAGAAUGAACCUUUCUGAGUGCUGCGUAUUCCCUGGAAGACGCUUUGUGCCCACGAUGUGUUGUACAGUGAGCAGAGACAGCCAGCCCCGGGUGCUUUCAAAGUAAUUAUCAAGUUGAAUCUGGGAAUAACCUUGGAGGGAACGGCAAAGCCACCAAAGAAAGACAGCAGAGGAAUGUGACGAUGAACUCUGGGAAGAAAACGCAGUGCCACGAAGAGAGGGAACACUUGGGCACCUGUUGUGACAGCUGUGACUGAGCACACAAUGACCAGAUCAGAGUGAAUAAUGAGAGAAUCUGCUCAUUUAAGAGUGUAUACACAAACUCAGCAGGGACGUGAAACUGUUUUGCUUUGUUUUACUGAUAAUGUGUUAUUGGAGUCAUGUCUCUGGCUGUGUCCUAGAGUAGGUUCAAAAUGAUUACUUAUAUAACACAGGAUAUAUUUAAGUCUGGGAGGAGCAGUAGGGGUGAAACGCAUGUAUCUCAAUUUCUGGUUUAGAAGCAAAAUGAAAUUAUGUUUUUCUGAAUGAAUUUAUUGAUUUCCAUUUAACUAACACAGGAAUAUCCGUCUCAAGGUCUAGGUUGCCCUUGGAAAAUCUGAUCUGUGAAGUAAUUGCUGAGUCAGAUUAAACUAUUAACAUCUCUUACCAGAUUCUGGCUCAUCCCCUAACCCGAUCUAUGUCACUCUAAAAAUAACCUCCAUAAAAAUAAUCUCAGUCCGAACUGCAAAAGUUCAAACCCAUCUCUGGGUGGCUUCAGCCUGGGAGAAACUUUUGGCUGAUCCACGUUCAUGGGGCUCCUUCUCCUUGUAAUGCCGUGCUUUAGAAGGAGGUAGGCAUGUUCUGGAUUAGUUUGGGAUUAAAGAGCACAAUUUUUAAGUGACAAAUGCAUGCUUCUGGCAAAAUAACACCAUAAGUGAGCAGCAAAUUAAAUUUCUUUCAUAUAUAGAGCAGAGUAAUAUGCAGGACACCAUAAGGGAAAACAAAAGGGAAAACAGAGCCAUUCUUUGGUCACCAAGAAACAGCACAAUCUAAUACAACUGCCCACAUUGACAAAUAAUGGCAUUUUGCACAAGAAUAAUCACUGCUGCUUUGAUUUAAAGUGAAAACCUUAUUGAGGAACUUUCUACGAGGACAAGGUGUGUGGAAUGUAAAUACCUGGGUGCAGCCAACCAGCACAAAAUGUAUUUGGAGAGAGCCUACUGGGAUGAACUGUGCUUACAGACCAUCAUGCACAAGCAAUAAAUUGCUGUAGGGUUUGCCAACUAAUUUGGCGGAGGUAUGAAUUCUUUAUCUAUUAAUCAAUGUAGGAAAGCAUGAAGCACCUAUAAACCAUUCAUCUCACUUUAGUUUCUUGUUUAAAUUUAAUUAGCAUUGGUCUGAUUUCACUUAAAAAAGUGGAGGUACGUUUGAAUAUAGAGGUGUCAAACAGAGUAUCUGGGACAGCGCUGAUGGUGUGAAGUCUUAGGGCCACGAGUCACAUUGUUUGGACAUUUUUCUCCAAAGUGAACAGCCAUAAAAACUCCUUUCAGGGAGACCCUUCACUCACAAGCAGAAAACAAACACGCACCAGGUGCCACCACCUUGCCAGUGUGAAAGGCAUUUGUAACAUCAUGAACCAAUUCAGUUCUGUCUUGUGCCUGCAGGCUUUUUCUCCUCUCUCAGUAGUCUUUUUUCCCAUUUCUCUAUUUUUGUGUAUAUAUAUAAGGAUGAUGUUAAUUACAGAAACUUAAUUUCUUCAGGUUUUACAUUUAUUCUGACUUUUUCUACUGCUAUCUGUGUUGAAAUUUUCAUUAACUGCACUAGGACAAGAGUUAGGCCAACGCUAUUUUCUCAACUCUCUCACAAAUCUGUUUACCUUUUCUUCCCAUAAUUUCCACGAGGAUUACGGAUAAGGCAGUAAUCCAUGUACCUAGUUAUGGUAUGCCUUACAAUGUGCAUACAGUAUGUGAUACAGAGAGUUGCAACAGCAACUGUAGAAAGCCCCAGUGGGCCACUUGCAAUUCAUUUCAUGUAGGUGUGACUUCAGAUCAUUUAAAACAUUUACUUUUUAUUUUUAAUAAGAGAAUUCUUUGAAAUGCC